rnacentral:pre_miRNA from 1 species
GAGGUGCAGGCUGACUCUUUGUGGAAGACUAGUGAUUUUGUUGUUGUAAGCCUUAUUGCAUGACAACAAGUCACAGUCUGCCUCACAGUGCCCAGCAAUAUCA